GACGAACGCUGGCGGCGUGCCUAAUACAUGCAAGUCGAACGAGAGCGCCCGGUGCUUGCACUGGUCAAUCUAGUGGCGAACGGGUGAGUAACACGUGGGUAACCUGCCCAUCAGAGGGGGAUAACAUCCGGAAACGGAUGCUAAAACCGCAUAGGUCUUCGAACCGCAUGGUUUGAAGAGGAAAAGAGGCGCACGCUUCUGCUGAUGGAUGGACCCGCGGUGCAUUAGCUAGUUGGUGAGGUAACGGCUCACCAAGGCCGUGAUGCAUAGCCGACCUGAGAGGGUGAUCGGCCACAUUGGGACUGAGACACGGCCCAAACUCCUACGGGAGGCAGCAGUAGGGAAUCUUCCGCAAUGGACGCAAGUCUGACGGAGCAACGCCGCGUGAGUGAAGAAGGUUUUCGGAUCGUAAAACUCUGUUGUUAGAGAAGAACAAGUGCUAGAGUAACUGUUAGCGCCUUGACGGUAUCUAACCAGAAAGCCACGGCUAACUACGUG
rnacentral:rRNA from 1 species